rnacentral:rRNA from 1 species
AAAUUGAAGAGUUUGAUCAUGGCUCAGAUUGAACGCUGGCGGCAGGCCUAACACAUGCAAGUCGAACGGUAACAGGAAGCAGCUUGCUGCUUUGCUGACGAGUGGCGGACGGGUGAGUAAUGUCUGGGAAACUGCCUGAUGGAGGGGGAUAACUACUGGAAACGGUAGCUAAUACCGCAUAACGUCGCAAGACCAAAGAGGGGGACCUUAGGGCCUCUUGCCAUCGGAUGUGCCCAGAUGGGAUUAGCUAGUAGGUGGGGUAACGGCUCACCUAGGCGACGAUCCCUAGCUGGUCUGAGAGGAUGACCAGCCACACUGGAACUGAGACACGGUCCAGACUCCUACGGGAGGCAGCAGUGGGGAAUAUUGCACAAUGGGCGCAAGCCUGAUGCAGCCAUGCCGCGUGUAUGAAGAAGGCCUUCGGGUUGUAAAGUACUUUCAGCGGGGAGGAAGGCGAUAAGGUUAAUAACCUUGUCGAUUGACGUUACCCGCAGAAGAAGCACCGGCUAACUCCGUGCCAGCAGCCGCGGUAAUACGGAGGGUGCAAGCGUUAAUCGGAAUUACUGGGCGUAAAGCGCACGCAGGCGGUCUGUCAAGUCGGAUGUGAAAUCCCCGGGCUCAACCUGGGAACUGCAUUCGAAACUGGCAGGCUAGAGUCUUGUAGAGGGGGGUAGAAUUCCAGGUGUAGCGGUGAAAUGCGUAGAGAUCUGGAGGAAUACCGGUGGCGAAGGCGGCCCCCUGGACAAAGACUGACGCUCAGGUGCGAAAGCGUGGGGAGCAAACAGGAUUAGAUACCCUGGUAGUCCACGCCGUAAACGAUGUCGACUUGGAGGUUGUGCCCUUGAGGCGUGGCUUCCGGAGCUAACGCGUUAAGUCGACCGCCUGGGGAGUACGGCCGCAAGGUUAAAACUCAAAUGAAUUGACGGGGGCCCGCACAAGCGGUGGAGCAUGUGGUUUAAUUCGAUGCAACGCGAAGAACCUUACCUACUCUUGACAUCCAGAGAACUUAGCAGAGAUGCUUUGGUGCCUUCGGGAACUCUGAGACAGGUGCUGCAUGGCUGUCGUCAGCUCGUGUUGUGAAAUGUUGGGUUAAGUCCCGCAACGAGCGCAACCCUUAUCCUUUGUUGCCAGCGGUCCGGCCGGGAACUCAAAGGAGACUGCCAGUGAUAAACUGGAGGAAGGUGGGGAUGACGUCAAGUCAUCAUGGCCCUUACGAGUAGGGCUACACACGUGCUACAAUGGCGCAUACAAAGAGAAGCGACCUCGCGAGAGCAAGCGGACCUCAUAAAGUGCGUCGUAGUCCGGAUUGGAGUCUGCAACUCGACUCCAUGAAGUCGGAAUCGCUAGUAAUCGUGGAUCAGAAUGCCACGGUGAAUACGUUCCCGGGCCUUGUACACACCGCCCGUCACACCAUGGGAGUGGGUUGCAAAAGAAGUAGGUAGCUUAACCUUCGGGAGGGCGCUUACCACUUUGUGAUUCAUGACUGGGGUGAAGUCGUAACAAGGUAACCGUAGGGGAACCUGCGGUUGGAUCACCUCCUUA